rnacentral:rRNA from 1 species
GCCAACGAGUGGCGGACGGGUGAGUAACACGUAGGUAACCUGCCCAGAAGCGGGGGACAACAUUUGGAAACAGAUGCUAAUACCGCAUAACANCGUUGUUCGCAUGAACAACGCUUAAAAGAUGGCUUCUCGCUAUCACUUCUGGAUGGACCUGCGGUGCAUUAGCUUGUUGGUGGGGUAACGGCCUACCAAGGCGAUGAUGCAUAGCCGAGUUGAGAGACUGAUCGGCCACAAUGGGACUGAGACACGGCCCAUACUCCUACGGGAGGCAGCAGUAGGGAAUCUUCCACAAUGGGCGCAAGCCUGAUGGAGCAACNCCGCGUGAGUGAAGAAGGGUUUCGGCUCGUAAAGCUCUGUUGUUAAANAAGAACACGUAUGAGAGUAACUGUUCAUACGUUGACGGUAUUUAACCAGAAAGUCACGGCUAACUACGUGCCAGCAGCCGCGGUAAUACGUAGGUGGCAAGCGUUAUCCGGAUUUAUUGGGCGUAAAGAGAGUGCAGGCGGUUUUCUAAGUCUGAUGUGAAAGCCUUCGGCUUAACCGGAGAAGUGCAUCGGAAACUGGAUAACUUGAGUGCAGAAGAGGGUAGUGGAACUCCAUGUGUAGCGGUGGAAUGCGUAGAUAUAUGGAAGAACACCAGUGGCGAAGGCGGCUACCUGGUCUGCAACUGACGCUGAGACUCGAAAGCAUGGGUAGCGAACAGGAUUAGAUACCCUGGUAGUCCAUGCCGUAAACGAUGAGUGCUAGGUGUUGGAGGGUUUCCGCCCUUCAGUGCCGGAGCUAACGCAUUAAGCACUCCGCCUGGGGAGUACGACCGCAAGGUUGAAACUCAAAGGAAUUGACGGGGGCCCGCACAAGCGGUGGAGCAUGUGGUUUAAUUCGAAGCUACGCGAAGAACCUUACCAGGUCUUGACAUCUUGCGCCAACCCUAGAGAUAGGGCGUUUCCUUCGGGAACGCAAUGACAGGUGGUGCAUGGUCGUCGUCAGCUCGUGUCGUGAGAUGUUGGGUUAAGUCCCGCAACGAGCGCAACCCUUGUUACUAGUUGCCAGCAUUAAGUUGGGCACUCUAGUGAGACUGCCGGUGACAAACCGGAGGAAGGUGGGGACGACGUCAGAUCAUCAUGCCCCUUAUGACCUGGGCUACACACGUGCUACAAUGGACGGUACAACGAGUCGCGAACUCGCGAGGGCAAGCAAAUCUCUUAAAACCGUUCUCAGUUCGGACUGCAGGCUGCAACUCGCCUGCACGAAGUCGGAAUCGCUAGUAAUCGCGGAUCAGCAUGCCGCGGUGAAUACGUUCCCGGGCCUUGUACACACCGCCCGUCACACCAUGAGAGUUUGUAACACCCAAAGUCGGUGGGGUAACCUUUUAGGAGCCAGCCGCCUAAG